UCUGAUUGUGUUUUCAUAGGAUCAAGAAAGUGGAAAUCCUUUAGUGCAGGAUUUUUCAGAACUCUGGUCUUCUGAAGCUUUUUCAAGAUGUCUUCAGUAAGUUGGUUAACUGUGGUUGGAAAAGCUGUAUCCUGUCCUUCACCAUCCACCAUCCACUUUCCACUUCAUUGGAGAGUCAAAUGGGACAAAUCAAACUAUGCAGGGAGGUGUUUGGUUUUUGGUGGUCAUGAAGGGAUACACUGUGAUGCAUGGAAGUGGUUUCCCUUGUACAGAGAGAUGAAGAAAAUGGGGUAACGAAUGAUAAAGAACAUGUUUGCCAGCCUUUUAUUAGCAGUUUUAAAGGAGACAAAAAUGUGAAGUCAUGCAAAUGUGACUUCUUGAAGAACUUCAUUAGCAUCACCCAGAAGCUAUAGUUUACAAUAAAUGGCCACCGGGGGCCCCCACAGGUCAUGGCUCAUGGCCAGCUCCUUGCAAUUGAAGUGAUGCUUACUGUAAGGCGAGUCCCCUGGACACGAUGUAUGAGGUGUGGAUGACAGUACAUUAUCUAAGCCAAUUGCGCUGUAGUGAUUUGAAAUCAGAAGACUUUUAAUGGAGCAAGCAGGGGGAAAAGAAGCUACUGGAGGAAAGCAGUCCAUUAAGGUCUCCUGGCAGAGACACCGCAUACGCUUAUCUUUAAAAGGAGAGGUAAGGAAAAGAACAUUUUUAGAAGAGAGUCACCAGUAUUCUUUACUACUGUGCUCUCCUCCUCCCCAAACACAUACCCCCACCCACGUGCACACGCAUGUGCAUGCACAUGCACCCCUACACACAAAUGAAGCGAUUGCCCUCACCCGUAAAACCUUUAGCAUGUCUUGAUGUCUUGAAUCUUUAGAAGAUGUAAGGAAAAAGAGCUGCUUUAGGGUGAAAUAAGGAUCGGAGAAUCCUGCCUACCAAGACGGUCGUUUCCAUCCUGCACACAUGUGAUGAAAAGGUGAGCUAUGUAAUUUUAACUCUGUUUUACUUUGAACUUCUGAUGGAAUCAUGGCUGUUCUCACAGACACAAUUACGGCCUAUCAACUUAAUAAUGAGAGCGAUCACUGAGGAGGGCUGUAUGCUGUCUACAUGAUCGGAUUCUCCAGAGGAGGCAACUGGAUGUGACAUGCAACCGGAUCGCCUGGGUUCUAAUCUCAGCUCCACCGUUUAAUUUGGGCAAACACUAAACAUCUAUGUGUUUCUCUGUCCACGUGUACGAAAUGGAGCUGAUGGGCGUGGGGGGCACCUGGGUGACUCAGUGGUUGAGCAUCUGCCUUUGGCUCAAGUCGUGAUCCUGGGGUCCUGGGAUCGAGUCCUGUAUUGGG